AUUGAAACAGUGACUGUAAAUUUAAAAAUAAUGUGUGACAAAAGAGACAAGAGGAAAAAGUCUCCUGAACUAAGUCUCGGUCUCUCCAUGAAGGCAGCACCAUCCUCUCACAUUCCUGCGCGACGCUUAAAAAAGGGGAUUUAGAGCGACUUAUUUUCUUAAAACUGUCCUCCCGUCCGCAGAGCCAGUCAUUCUGCUCCCCCAUCAUGCAGCCUCACAUGGGCCUGAACUGAAUAAAACCCCCACAAUAUUUUAAAGGAAAAUUCCCAACGACAGACACCGAGGAUAUGGAGGCACCCAGAGCUGCAGUUUGCUCUCAGAGAAGAGGAAAGAUGACAGGAGAAAGGCACAACAUAGGCCGGAUGUAGCUAGCCUUUCAAUUCUUUUACAAGAAGGAUUUUCUGCAAGAGGAAGAAGAUAAAAGCCAAAUAUAAUGGUGUCGAUCACAUGAAGCGGAUGAAUAGAUCAUAACUCUGGAUUUCUUUUAACAAACAAACAUGAGAUCUGAUCAAAGCAGAGGAAAACUUUUGCUGUGGAUCCUCCUGUUUGGUGGAGAUGGACUGCAACACAUCCAGGAGUUCGCCUAACAAAUAAACGGAUGCAAUUAAACACACACACACGCCUUCAGAUCAUCAAUGAGGAGGCAAAGUCAAGAUUGCUGGAAAAACAUACAAGGACAAAUAAAAGACAUGAGGAGACUGUGCCGCCUCAAGGUUACACUUGAACUGUGUGAAGAGCUGGCUUUCUUUUCCAAUCUGGACUGUCCUACAAACACUCAACACUAGCUGGGCUUCAUAUUAAUUAUUCUUUUAUUUAUUUAUCUUUACAACUUUUUGUAACUCUUUUUAAAUCAAGUUUUUCCUUCUCUGUCAGCCAAACUGUCUUGAAAGUAAUAAAGAAUAUAUUUUCAAAUAAAGACUCAUUUUCAAA